rnacentral:rRNA from 1 species
AAUGGGGGAAACCCUGAUCCAGCCAUUCCGCGUGAGUGAAGAAGGCCUUCGGGUUGUAAAGCUCUUUCGCAAGAGAAGAAAUCUUACUAUCGAAUAAAUAGUAAGGAUGACGGUAUCUUGACAAGAAGCACCGGCUAACUACGUGCCAGCAGCCGCGGUAAUACGUAGGGUGCGAGCGUUAAUCGGAAUUACUGGGCGUAAAGCGUGCGCAGGCGGUUUUAUAAGUCAGAUGUGAAAUCCCCGAGCUCAACUUGGGAACUGCGUUUGAAACUGUAAGACUAGAGUGUGUCAGAGGGGGGUGGAAUUCCACGUGUAGCAGUGAAAUGCGUAGAGAUGUGGAGGAAUACCAAUGGCGAGGCACUCCCUGGAUACGCUGACGUCGUGCACAGAGGUGAGAGCAACGGAUC